UACAGAGGGUGCGAGCGUUGUCCGGAAUCACUGGGCGUAAAGGGCCCGUGGGCGUCCUCUUAAGCGGUGGGUGAAAGCCCGGGGCUCAACUCCGGGUCGGCCGUGCGAACUGGGGGACUGGAGCUUGUCAGAGGCAGGCGGAAUUCCGGGUGUAGCGGUGGAAUGCGUAGAGAUCCGGAAGAACACCGGUGGCGCAGGCGGCCUGAUGGGACAGUGCUGACGCUGAGGCGCGAAAGCUAGGGGAGCAAACAGG
rnacentral:rRNA from 1 species